AGCUGGGUUCAGGCGGAUUUGGUUUGGUGUGUGAAGGAACCCGCAAUGAGGAUGAACUCAAGGUGGCUGUGAAAUUUUCAGUGAAGGCACCAAACAUGCCAAACAUCUCAGUGCCUGGUCAUCCCAAUCGCCUGCCGUUGGAGAUCGGCUUGACACUCAUGGCCAAUAAGGGCCCCAGCGCUCCUCAAAUAAUUCAACUGCUGGACUGGGAAGAGGAGACGGACCAC